UGGGGAAUAUUGCACAAUGGGGGAAACCCUGAUGCAGCGACGCCGCGUGAACGAAGAAGGUAUUCGUAUCGUGAAGUUCUGUCCUAUGGGAAGAUAAUGACAGUACCAUAGAAGAAAGCUCCGGCUAAAUACGUGCCAGCAGCCGCGGUAAUACGUAUGGAGCGAGCGUUGUCCGGAAUUAUUGGGCGUAAAGGGUACGCAGGCGGUUUAAUAAGUCGAAUGUUAAAGAUCGGGGCUCAACCCCGUAAAGCAUUGGAAACUGAUAAACUUGAGUAGUGGAGAGGAAAGUGGAAUUCCUAGUGUAGUGGUGAAAUACGUAGAUAUUAGGAGGAAUACCAGUAGCGAAGGCGACUUUCUGGACACAAACUGACGCUGAGGUACGAAAGCGUGGGGAGCAAACAGG
rnacentral:rRNA from 1 species